rnacentral:rRNA from 1 species
AUUGAACGCUGGCGGCCGGCCUAACACAUGCAAGUCGAGCGAGCGGCGGACGGGUGAGUAAUGUCUGGGAAACUGCCCGAUGGAGGGGGAUAACUACUGGAAACGGUAGCUAAUACCGCAUACCAUCCGAUGUGCCCAUAUGGGAUUAGCUAGUAGGUGGGGUAAUGGGUCACCUAGGCGACGAUCCCUAGCUGGUCUGAGAAGAUGACCAGCAACGCUGGGACUGAAACACAGACCAGUCUCCAUCGGGAGGCGUCAGUGAGAAAUAUUGCACAGUAAGAGCAAGCCGGGUGCAGCCAUGCCACGUGUGUGAAGAGGGCCUUCGAGUUGUAAAACACUAUCAGCGAUGAGGCAUUACUCGCAAGAGAAGCACCGGCUAACUCCGUGCCAGCAGCCGCAGUAAAUC